rnacentral:rRNA from 1 species
AUGAUCAUCAAUGACGACGGCACCUAUGACUCCAUGAGCGAGGAAGAAAUGGAAGCACUUGAGCACGUGGCCAUGCACCGACGAGUGAAUGAAGACAAAGAUGACCAAGUCUUUUGUGACAAUGAUUCGAGCCCCGCUCUUGUUGUCUCCAAAGUCUUGACACUUCAACACCAAAAAGACGAAGACCAAUGUUGCCACAUCUUCUGCACCAAAGCGGGCAUCAAUGGACGUUCUGUGAAGGUCAUCAUCGACGGAGGAAGUUGCCACAAUUUGGUAAGUGAAGAGCUAUGUUCCAAGCUACAAUUGAUCAAGAUGAAGCAUCCUCACCCCUAG